AUUGAACGCUGGCGGCAUGCUAUACACAUGCAAGUCGAGCGGCAGCGCGGGGGCAACCCUGGCGGCGAGCGGCGAACGGGGUGAGUAAUGCAUCGGAACGUGUCCCGUAGUGGGGGAUAACCCGGCGAAAGCCGGGCUAAUACCGCAUAUGCUCUACGGAGGAAAGGGGGGGAUCCGCAAGGACCUCUCGCUAUGGGAGCGGCCGAUGUCCGAUUAGCUUGUUGGUGGGGUAAUGGCUUACCAAGGCGACGAUCGGUAGCUGGUCUGAGAGGAUGAUCAGCCACACUGGGACUGAGACACGGCCCAGACUCCUACGGGAGGCAGCAGUGGGGAAUUUUGGACAAUGGGGGCAACCCUGAUCCAGCCAUGCCGCGUGCGGGAAGAAGGCCUUCGGUUGUAACCGCUUUAGU
rnacentral:rRNA from 1 species